rnacentral:tRNA from 1 species
GAGGGUGUAGCCAAAUGGUAAGGCAGCGUAGCUUUGGACUCGUGAUAUGUGAGUUCGAGUCUCACCACCCUCU